CUGGAUAGAUGGAAAGAGUAGCGUUAACGUUAUGGUGAGAAACGUUUGUUUUUUUCGGAGUGACACAUUAGUCUUUUAAUAUGAGUCGUAUCUAAAACUAGUUAGAGUGUAAUCUAAAUAUAUUCGAACUUAUUGUUAAUAAAGUGGGCUUUGUAUGUGAGCACAUUUUAAUUUUAAUUUUGCACUGGAUUUAUUGGCACAAAUCUCUAUAUCACAGAGGAAACGUUACUGCAUUCACUUACAUUCUAACUUGUUCCUCAGCCUCAAAUACAGUUUUGUGUGUGUGAGAGAGAGAGAGAGAGAGAGUGUGUGUGUGUGUGUGUGUGUGUGUGUGUGUGUGUGAGAGAGAGAGAGAGAGAGUUAGAGAGAGAGGAAGAGGAGAGAGCAGUAGACAGAAUAUUUUUAAGUGUUUUUAAUGAAAAGUUGGAGGAUGUCCCAGGAUGAGAACAAAGAUAUGGUACACCUGCUUGUCAAGAUUCUAACGUUAAUGUCCCACUUCCAGGAACACGAAGAUGGACUUGUUUCACAUGCAGAUGUUGCAGCAUCUGCAUCUGAGGUUGAGAAGACACUCAAUCUACCUGCCAAUCCUCAUCUGAUUUUGCUGGGUUAGUGUGUCAUUGCACAUGAUGAAGAAGAAACAUUUACUGAUGGCUGAGAUCUAAAAUUGUUAACAUUGCUGUUGUGCACAAUUGUUAAAAUUGCUUCUUUUUUUUUUGUGAGUGUCCAGUCAACAUUUUUGACUGCAGUUGCAACAGUGUUUUGCUGUGUACUACAUCUUCAACCUGCAGUAUCAAGAGGCAGCUUGUUGCACGUUAGAGUUUUUUCAAAGAUGAUUCUAUGGAAUAAACCCAGAAAGAGGCUCAAAGACCUGCCGAGGCAAGGUAGUCUCCAAGAAGACGGGGAAGGUGGUGAAUAAGAAGUCCACUACAGUCAAUCCAAAGGUUGCCACUCUACAAAAAAAUCGAAUGGACUUCAAAUGGGACUUCAUC